AACGAACGCUGGCGGCGUGCCUAACACAUGCAAGUCGUGCGAGAAAGUUCCUUCGGGAGCGAGUAAAGCGGCGCACGGGUGAGUAACACGUAGGUAACCUGCCCCCCAGUCUGGAACAACUAGAGGAAACUCUAGCUAAUGCCGGAUGAGACCACGAUCCCUUCGGGGUUGGCGGCCAAAGAAUGGCCUCUACUUGUAAGCUAUCGCUGAGGGAUGGGCCUGCGGGCCAUUAGCUUGUUGGUGAGGUAACGGCUCACCAAGGCUGUGAUGGCUAGCUGGUCUGAGAGGAUGACCAGCCACACUGGGACUGAGACACGGCCCAGACUCCUACGGGAGGCAGCAGUGGGGAAUAUUGCGCAAUGGGCGAAAGACCUGACGCAGCGACGCCGCGUGGGUGGAUGAAGGACCGUC
rnacentral:rRNA from 1 species